rnacentral:piRNA from 1 species
UGGUUGUCAGAAACUGUGAUGUGCU